UUUGCCGGCGAGCGGCGGACGGGUGAGUAAUGUCUGGGAAACUGCCCGAUGGAGGGGGAUAACUACUGGAAACGGUGGCUAAUACCGCAUAACGUCUUCGGACCAAAGUGGGGGACCUUCGGGCCUCACACCAUCGGAUGUGCCCAGAUGGGAUUAGCUAGUAGGUGGGGUAACGGCUCACCUAGGCGACGAUCCCUAGCUGGUCUGAGAGGAUGACCAGCCACACUGGAACUGAGACACGGUCCAGACUCCUACGGGAGGCAGCAGUGGGGAAUAUUGCACAAUGGGCGCAAGCCUGAUGCAGCCAUGCCGCGUGUGUGAAGAAGGCCUUCGGGUUGUAAAGCACUUUCAGCGAGGAGGAAGGCAGUCGUGUUAAUAGCACGGUUGAUUGACGUUACUCGCAGAAGAAGCACCGGCUAACUCCGUGCCAGCAGCCGCGGUAAUACGGAGGGUGCAAGCGUUAAUCGGAAUUACUGGGCGUAAAGCGCACGCAGGCGGUUUGUUAAGUCAGAUGUGAAAUCCCCGCGCUUAACGUGGGAACUGCAUUUGAAACUGGCAAGCUAGAGUCUCGUAGAGGGGGGUAGAAUUCCAGGUGUAGCGGUGAAAUGCGUAGAGAUCU
rnacentral:rRNA from 1 species